GACGAACGCUGGCGGCGUGCUUAACACAUGCAAGUCGAACGGAAAGGCCCUGCUUUUGUGGGGUGCUCGAGUGGCGAACGGGUGAGUAACACGUGAGUAACCUGCCCUUGACUUUGGGAUAACUUCAGGAAACUGGGGCUAAUACCGGAUAGGAGCUCCUGCUGCAUGGUGGGGGUUGGAAAGUUUCGGCGGUUGGGGAUGGACUCGCGGCUUAUCAGCUUGUUGGUGGGGUAGUGGCUUACCAAGGCUUUGACGGGUAGCCGGCCUGAGAGGGUGACCGGCCACAUUGGGACUGAGAUACGGCCCAGACUCCUACGGGAGGCAGCAGUGGGGAAUAUUGCACAAUGGGCGGAAGCCUGAUGCAGCAACGCCGCGUGCGGGAUGACGGCCUUCGGGUUGUAAACCGCUUUCGCCUGUGACGAAGCGUGAGUGACGGUAAUGGGUAAAGAAGCACCGGCUAACUACGUGCCAGCAGCCGCGGUGAUACGUAGGGUGCGAGCGUUGUCCGGAUUUAUUGGGCGUAAAGGGCUCGUAGGUGGUUGAUCGCGUCGGAAGUGUAAUCUUGGGGCUUAACCCUGAGCGUGCUUUCGAUACGGGUUGACUUGAGGAAGGUAGGGGAGAAUGGAAUUCCUGGUGGAGCGGUGGAAUGCGCAGAUAUCAGGAGGAACACCAGUGGCGAAGGCGGUUCUCUGGGCCUUUCCUGACGCUGAGGAGCGAAAGCGUGGGGAGCGAACAGGCUUAGAUACCCUGGUAGUCCACGCUGUAAACGGUGGGUACUAGGUGUGGGGUCCAUUCCACGGGUUCCGUGCCGUAGCUAACGCUUUAAGUACCCCGCCUGGGGAGUACGGCCGCAAGGCUAAAACUCAAAGGAAUUGACGGGGCCCCGCACAAGCGGCGGAGCAUGCGGAUUAAUUCGAUGCAACGCGUAGAACCUUACCUGGGUUUGACAUGGAUCGGGAGCGCUCAGAGAUGGGUGUGCCUCUUUUGGGGUCGGUUCACAGGUGGUGCAUGGCUGUCGUCCGCUCGUGUCGUGAGAUGUUGGGUUAAGUCCCGCAACGAGCGCAACCCUUGUUCACUGUUGCCAGCACGUUAUGGUGGGGACUCAGUGGAGACCGCCGGGGUCAACUCGGAGGAAGGUGGGGAUGACGUCAAGUCAUCAUGCCCCUUAUGUCCAGGGCUUCACGCAUGCUACAAUGGCUGGUACAGAGAGUGGCGAGCCUGUGAGGGUGAGCGAAUCUCGGAAAGCCGGUCUCAGUUCGGAUUGGGGUCUGCAACUCGACCUCAUGAAGUCGGGGUCGCUAGUAAUCGCAGAUCAGCAACGCUGCGGUGAAUACGUUCCCGGGGCU
rnacentral:rRNA from 1 species